rnacentral:rRNA from 1 species
UGGGGAAUAUUGGGCAAUGGGCGCAAGCCUGACCCAGCAACGCCGCGUGAAGGAAGAAGGCUUUCGGGUUGUAAACUUCUUUUCUGGAGGACGAAUCAAUGACGGUACUCCAGGAAUAAGCCACGGCUAACUACGUGCCAGCAGCCGCGGUAAUACGUAGGUGGCAAGCGUUAUCCGGAUUUAUUGGGUGUAAAGGGCGUGUAGGCGGGAAAGCAAGUCAGAUGUGAAAACUCAGGGCUCAACCCUGAGCCUGCAUUUGAAACUGUUUUUCUUGAGUGCUGGAGAGGCAAUCGGAAUUCCGUGUGUAGCGGUGAAAUGCGUAGAUAUACGGAGGAACACCAGUGGCGAAGGCGGAUUGCUGGACAGUAACUGACGCUGAGGCGCGAAAGCGUGGGGAGCAAACAGG